UGUGACCUCCUGUCACCUCCUGCUCUGAUGUCAUCACGUCAAACACAGCGCGUGCGUACCUGCCAGCAGGUGACCUCGUGCGUCAGCGACCAAACAAGAACCUGACGAAGGAAACUGGAGUUGAUAUCGCGGUGGAAACUACAGGACGAGAGGGUGAUGAGGAUUUCACACCCGGGAGCACAGCUCCACCGAUGCAGUGUUUGGAGACGCGCAGGUGACUCAGCGCACGUGUUGCCCUGAAUCCGCAAAGUCACACUUUAAUUGACGUAAAGAGCGUGAAGCUGAGAUGACGCUGAGAUGAACCUGUGCGUCAUGAGCUCCUGUAAGUGUGAACAAGUUGCUGAACAGUUGUUAAACUCGGGAGAACCAAAGCGCACGGGACGCGUGUGCGCGUAAUGCGCAGUGAAGCGCCAGGUUACAAACAACACUUCACGCGUGGGGCCUCCACUGAAAUGGUCGACGAGUCAGCUCCGCGCUGUUUUCUGGACACGGACCCGCAAAGCUCAACUAAAGAAAAGCUUCACCUGUAAAAACUCACCUGAGUGGAGGGACGCAGCCACCAACACUGGACACCUGCAGCCAAAGAUAACCUGUCUGUGGUGCUAUUGAGGUUAAUGAGGGGAGACAGCAUCAGACUCCAGAUCCCUUUAAUAAACCUCGUCAGCUCUGCCCGUCUGGUGCAUGUCAAUGACUUACCCGAAUGCAUUGCAGCUGCCGCCUCAGUGGAGACGGAAAAGAAAGAAGUCUGCGUGAAGGCAAACGAGGCUCGGAUCUUAAAAACAAAACAAACUGGGAGUGGCUUGAAAAACGAGUUUGAGAGUUUGCAGGUCAGUUUGUUAUCAGGCACAGACGACGGAACUGACAGCCACAGGAUUUAUUCAUAUGGAGUCGAGCGGUUUUGGAGGAAAUGAGAUUAUAAUGGAGCAAAUUAGAUAAAAUUCUCAUAAUAGCUAUUGGAGAAUUAGGAAGUAGAUAAGAGCAAUACAUUUAAGAAAGUACAAGUUUUUUUUACUACAACAACACAUUGCUAAUGUUGUACAUUAAUCACGUCCCUCUAAUUCUGUGGUGCAGGAAAAAAAAAAUAAAGAUUAUACAGGAAGAGUUUCACGGUGUCUGGAAUAUAACCUCACUGCAAAAACAAAGUUUAAACAUCUAAUGCAAUCCCACGCAUGUACUUACUGCACAUGUAUGUUCACGUGACUGUAGGGCGGGAAGGACAGUUCAUAUUUAAACAGUUUGACCUGCGAAGGUAAUGUUACGUUGUAUUUUGAAAUGAAACUGGAGGAUGCUGAACUUUGUACCGUGCAAUAUCUCGCACUGAGGACUCACCUGCGGAGGAGGAUCUCUGGAGGAGUGGAGCAACACCACGUGAUCAACCUCGUCUGACUGCAAGUGUCAUGUAUGUUCACAUGACGGCAACAUUAAAGGACCUCUCCUCAAUUUUACUGAGAAUCAGUU